rnacentral:rRNA from 1 species
AAAUAGAUACCCCGGUAGUCCACGCCGUAAACGAUGAGUGCUAAGUGUUAGAGGGUUUCCGCCCUUUAGUGCUGCAGCUAACGCAUUAAGCACUCCGCCUGGGGAGUACGGCCGCAAGGCUGAAACUCAAAGGAAUUGACGGGGGCCCGCACAAGCGGUGGAGCAUGUGGUUUAAUUCGAAGCAACGCGAAGAACCUUACCAGGUCUUGACAUCCUCUGCCAACCCUAGAGAUAGGGGCGUUCCCCUUCGGGGGGACAGAGUGACAGGUGGUGCAUGGUUGUCGUCAGCUCGUGUCGUGAGAUGUUGGGUUAAGUCCCGCAACGAGCGCAACCCUUGAUCUUAGUUGCCAGCAUUCAGUUGGGCACUCUAAGGUGACUGCCGGUGACAAACCGGAGGAAGUGGGGAUGACGUCAAAUCAUCAUGCCCCUUAUGACCUGGGCUACACGACGUGCUACAAUGGAUGGUACAAAGAGCUGCGAACCCGCGAGGGUAAGCCAAUCUCAUAAAGCCAUUCUCAGUUCGGA